CCUGCGAUGCAAGUCGAGCGAGAAAGUCCCUUCGGGGGCGAGUAGAGCGUCGCCCGGGUGAGUAAUAAAAAGAUAAUCUUCCCUCGAGCUUGGGAUAACCCUGCGAAAGUGGGGCUAAUACCGGAUAAGACCACAUAGCAUAUGUUACAUGGUAGAAGGUGGCUUAUAUUUAUAUGAGCUAUCACUUGAGGACGAGUCCAUGGCCUAUCAGCUUGUUGGUGAGGUAAGAGCUCACCAAGGCUAUGACGGGUAGCUGGUCUAAGAGGACGAUCAGCCACAGGCGUAUCUUAGAAACNGUCCCGAGUCCUACGGGAGGCAGCAGUGGG
rnacentral:sRNA from 1 species